AUGGAUCUCAAUAGUGCCAGCACUGUUGUUCUUCAGGUCUUAACACAGGCCACCAGUCAGGAUACUACUGUGUUAAAACCAGCUGAGGAGCAGUUGAAACAGUGGGAGACCCAGCCUGGUUUCUAUUCAGUGUUGUUGAAUAUUUUCACAAACCACACACUGGAUAUAAAUGUAAGGUGGCUUGCUAUUCUGUAUUUUAAAAAUGGAAUUGAUCGCUACUGGAGACGUGUAGCACCCCAUGCUCUCUCAGAGGAGGAGAAAACUACUUUGCGUGCAAGGCUCAUCACCAACUUCAAUGAACCAAUAAACCAGAUUGCAACUCAAAUUGCAGUGCUGAUCGCAAAAGUUGCUAGGUUGGAUUGUCCCAGACAGUGGCCUGAACUGAUUCCCACUCUUAUAGAGUCUGUUAAAGUCCAGGAUGAUCUUCGACAGCACAGAGCAUUACUUACCUUCUAUCAUGUUACCAAGACACUGGCAUCUAAACGACUCGCUGCUGAUAGAAAAUUAUUUUAUGAUUUAGCUUCUGGAAUUUAUACUUUUGCCUGCUCUUUGUGGAAUCACCAUACAGACACAUUCCUCCAACAAGUUUCUUCUGGCAAUGAAGCUGCAGUUCUAAGUGCACUAGAACGAACUCUACUAUCCUUGAAAGUGCUGCGUAAGUUAACUGUUAAUGGAUUUGUGGAACCUCAUAAGAAUAUAGAGGUGAUGGGUUUUUUACAUGGAAUAUUUGAACGUCUUAAACAGUUUCUGGAAUGCAGUAGAAAUAUAGGUACAGAUAAUAUGUGUAGAGAUAGACUGGAAAAGACCAUCAUUCUUUUUACUAAAGUGCUGUUGGACUUCUUGGAUCAGCAUCCCUUUUCAUUUAAACCUCUAAUUCAGAGAUCACUGGAAUUUUCUGUAAGCUAUGUUUUUACGGAAAUUGGUGAAGGCGUUACAUUUGAACGAUUCAUUGUCCAGUGCAUGAAUCUUAUUAAGAUGAUUGUCAAAAAUUAUGCUUAUAAGCCAUCCAAAAAUUUUGAAGAUAGCAGUCCUGAAACUCUUGAAGCCCAUAAGAUUAAGAUGGCAUUCUUCACAUAUCCCACUUUGACAGAGAUAUGUAGAAGAUUAGUCUCUCAUUAUUUUCUAUUAACUGAAGAAGAACUGACAAUGUGGGAAGAAGACCCAGAAGGCUUUACAGUGGAAGAAACAGGAGGAGAUUCUUGGAAAUAUAGUUUGAGGCCAUGCACUGAAGUCCUUUUUAUAGAUAUAUUCCAUGAAUAUAAUCAGACUCUUACUCCUGUACUUCUAGAAAUGAUGCAAACACUUCAGGGGCCCACAAAUGUGGAAGAUAUGAAUGCACUGUUAAUUAAAGAUGCUGUGUAAAAUGCUGUUGGAUUAGCUGCUUAUGAACUGUUUGACAGCGUUGAUUUUGAUCAGUGGUUUAAAAACCAGCUUCUUCCAGAAUUACAAGUCAUUCACAAUAGGUAUAAGCCACUGCGACGCAGGGUGAUUUGGCUCAUUGGUCAGUGGAUUUCUGUGAAAUUCAAGUCUGACUUAAGACCCAUGCUGUAUGAGGCAAUCUGUAACUUGCUUCAAGAUCAAGAUUUAGUGGUCCGUAUUGAAACAGCUACAACUUUGAAGUUAACUGUUGAUGAUUUUGAAUUUAGAACAGACCAGUUUCUACCGUAUUUGGAAACCAUGUUCACACUACUUUUUCAGUUACUACAGCAAGUUACAGAAUGUGACACAAAGAUGCACGUUUUGCAUGUCCUUUCCUGUGUGAUUGAAAGAGUCAACAUGCAGAUACGACCAUAUGUGGGAUGUUUGGUGCAAUAUUUGCCCCUUUUUUGGAAGCAGAGUGAAGAACACAAUAUGUUGAGAUGUGCUAUUUUGACGACACUUAUUCAUCUUGUGCAGGGAUUAGGAGAAGACAGCAAGAACCUGUACCCUUUCCUGCUCCCAGUUAUUCAACUGAGUACAGAUGUUUCCCAGCCUCCACAUGUUUAUCUUCUGGAAGAUGGUUUAGAAUUAUGGUUAGUAACAUUGGAAAACAGCCCAUGUAUUACACCAGAGUUGCUUCGUAUAUUUCAGAAUAUGUCUCCCCUUCUUGAACUAAGUUCAGAAAAUCUCAGAACCUGCUUUAAGAUCAUCAAUGAUUAUAUCUUUUUAUCAUCAACAGAAUUUUUACAGACAUAUGCAGUAGGUCUGUGUCAGUCCUUUUGUGAGCUGUUAAAGGAAAUUACUACAGAAGGUCAAGUUCAAGUGCUCAAGGUUGUGGAAAAUGCCCUUAAAGUGAACCUAGUAUUAGGUCCACAAAUGUUUCAACCAAUUUUACCCUGUGUUUUCAGGGGUAUUAUAGAAGGAGAGAGGUAUCCUGUAGUGAUGUCCACCUAUCUUGGAGUUAUGGGUCGAGUCCUAUUACAAAAUGCCAGCUUCUUCUCUUCACUUCUUAAUGAGAUGGCACAUAAGUUUAAUCAGGAGAUGGACCAGCUUUUGGGAAAUAUGAUUGAAAUGUGGGUUGAUCGAAUGGACAACAUUACCCAGCCAGAAAGAAGAAAACUUUCAGCUUUGGCUUUGCUUUCUCUUCUGCCAUCUGAUAAUAGUGUUAUCCAGGAUAAAUUCUGUGGUAUUAUAAACAUCUCAGUGGAAGGCCUGCAUGAUGUCAUGACGGAAGAUCCUGAAACAGGAACUUACAAAGACUGUAUGUUGAUGUCUCAUCUUGAGGAACCAAAAGUAAUGGAAGAUGAAGAACCACCCACAGAACAAGAUAAGAGGAAAAAGAUGCUGGCACUGAAGGACCCUGUGCACACGGUGUCACUGCAGCAGUUCGUCUACGAGAAGCUCAAGGCGCAGCAGGAGCUACUGGGAGAACAAGGGUUCCAGUCCCUCAUGGAGACAGUGGACACAGAGAUUGUCACCCAGCUACAGGAGUUUUUGCAAGGAUUCUAAGAGCACAUGCCAUGUGGCUGCCUCCCCUUUCUGAAACAAGCCGAAUCCCCAGCCUGCCAUUUGUAUGUGAGAGCCUGCUGAGAUAAAGAAAUCACUAGCCUAUGAAAAUGAAGAUGUGAAGUGAAGACCACACAUUUUUUACUAUAAAACAUAAAAAAUAAAUGUAAAUCCUACAUAACUAAAAUCACAAACCUAUUCCUCAAAAGAAUUUAAUUUUAUAUUUAUGAGGGGGCCCUGUGUUUACUAGAGGUACAUUUGAUGAUAAUAGCUGCUUAGUUUCCUGUUAAGAGAAGAAACUGUUUGAUUACCUUUUCAUCAUGUACUCUUAACACUCAAGAAGAUGAAGGCUAAUGUCUGAGAUGUUUUUCUGCAACCAAAAUUAGUUAGAUUUGGCUGCCUUAUCCCUUUUUUAAACUAACGAAACUACAAGUAUGAAAAAUGACAAAGCUGUUCAGCUGAUACAAUUAAAGAAAUUUGUGUACCAUGAGAAAAUAUAUAGUAACAUAUAUAUUACUAAGAUUAUCUUGCAAGGGAGUUGUUUUCAUUUGACAUAGAAAAUGUGUUUUAUCAGACAAAACCUUUUAUUUUCAUUCUAGUAAUUUGAUACAGGAAUUAGUAAAGGCAUUUUUCUCUUGUUAUAUUUCCAGUAAA